AACACUUAUCCAUUGGAUCCAUCGGAUCCAUCUUUUUUUUUAUAAGUGUUAAAAAAAAGAUGGAUGCGAUGGAUCCGAUGGAUAAGUAUU